rnacentral:rRNA from 1 species
GUAACCUGCCCUAGACAGGGGGAGUAACUGCUGGAAACGGCAGCUAAGACCGCAUAGGUAUGGACACUGCAUGGUGACCAUAUUAAAAGUGCCAAGGCACUGGUAGAGGAUGGACUUAUGGCGCAUUAGCUGGUUGGUGAGGUAACGGCUCACCAAGGCGACGAUGCGUAGCCGACCUGAGAGGGUGACCGGCCACACUGGGACUGAGACACGGCCCAGACUCCUACGGGAGGCAGCAUG